UACGUAGGGGGCUAGCGUUGUCCGGAUUUAUUGGGCGUAAAGAGCGUGUAGGCGGCCAUGUAGGUCCGGUGUGAAAACUCGAGGCUUAACCUCGAGAUGUCAUCGGAAACCAUUUGGCUAGAGUCCGGAAGAGGAGAGUGGAAUUCCUGGUGUAGCGGUGAAAUGCGCAGAUAUCAGGAGGAACACCAAUGGCGAAGGCAGCACUCUGGGACGUGACUGACGCUGAGACGCGAAAGCGUGGGGAGCGAACAGG
rnacentral:rRNA from 1 species